rnacentral:rRNA from 1 species
AAUUGUUCACAAUGGGCGCAAGCCUGAUGACGCAACGCCGCGUGGGGGAUGAAGGUCUUCGGAUUGUAAACCCCUGUCGAACGGGACGAAAGGCCUCUGGGCUAAUCACCAGCGGAGUGACGGUACCGUUAAAGGAAGCCACGGCUAACUCUGUGCCAGCAGCCGCGGUAAUACAGAGGUAGCAAGCGUUGUUCGGAAUUACUGGGCGUAAAGGGCGCGUAGGCGGCCAUCUAAGUCAGACGUGAAAUCCCCCGGCUUAACCUGGGAACUGCGUCUGAUACUGGAAGGCUCGAGUUUGGGAGAGGGAUGUGGAAUUCCAGGUGUAGCGGUGAAAUGCGUAGAUAUCUGGAGGAACACCGGUGGCGAAGGCGGCAUCCUGGACCAACACUGACGCUGAGGCGCGAAAGCUAGGGGAGCAAAC